AUUUUCGGGUGAUCGCGGUUUGAAUUUAUUCAGGCUGAGGAAAGUCCAUGCUCGCACAGACUGAGAUGUCUGUAGUGUUCGUGCUUAGCGAAAUCAUAAGCUAAGGUGCUUGAAAAAGUAACGGCAGGAAAAAUGACUAAGGUUUCGGCUAUGUUAAAGUACCCUUGAAAGUGCCACAGUGACGAAGCAAUUUUGGAAACGGAAUUGGUGGAACGCGGUAAACCCCUCGAGCGAGCAACCCAAACAAUGGUAGGGGCGCUCUUCUAAAGGAAAUGAACGAGUAGAAGAGGCAGAUUAAUUUCUGCAGAUAGAUGAUGACCGUCGAGUGUCUUUCCCUGAGAGGCAUUUGAUACAGAACAUGGCUUACAGAA
rnacentral:RNase_P_RNA from 1 species